GUGGUUUGUUUUCUUCCUCAAACGGUAAAAGCUCAUUGUAUGUCAUCUUCGUCCUAUUGUCUAUUAUGCAAUUAUGCUUAACUUCUCUAUUUGGAGUUCGGUUCUGUUCUGUCGCAAUGUCAAGCCGUCUGCCCACCAUGUACUCGACAAUAUGCUCGAAUGAACUUCGUGGUUGUGAAUUUUCACGGACCGAAUUUUUUCUUUAAUUUAAUUUGUGGGUAAAUUAUGCACACCACCCUGUUUGCUAAUAUGACUUUGAAAAUAGAAAAUAGAAAAUAGAAAACCUGUUGGUGCCUCAACCAUGAAUAAAGUCUAAUUACCAGCUAACAAAAUUAACAACAAAUCACCUUCCUUGAGCUCAUAAUAAAUCAUUGAACAUUUGAAGAAUCAAACAGCUCGAAAUUUAAGGUACCUAAUUACCUAAAAUCCAUUGCUCCUGAUGAUUAAUAAUUUCAUCAUACAUAUUGAAUCCGUAAAAAAAUAACCCAUGUAUCAAACAAUGAAGCAUGUCUGAAGUAGUUUUAGCUGCCAAUAAUUACCUUCAGAGGACUUAAAGUACUUCCUUUUAUUUUAACAUAAGUGGAUCUUUUAGUGUCAACGAUUACUUUCACAAGGCUCAGUAUUUUCUUCCAUUUAAGUAAUUCUCCAAAAUGGAAGAAAUAUUCCUCAGCUCUAUUUAUCUUAAUUUUUGGGUGGCUGUUUUGGGGAGUUAGUUUUCUAGAAUUGGCAAGCAUAACUUGCCUCAUAAGUUUCUUGUUAAGCUUUAAAAAAAAAAAAAAAAAGCCUAACCACAUAGGGGUAACCUUGGGGCUAGACCCUAUAAGAAGCCGAGGCCCUAGAGGCGUGGUUGCUACAUAGCAAGGCCACUCAAUCAUGUAGCGGUAAGUCAUGGACUUGCACACAGGCAGAAAUUCAAACCUACACUCUUGACACUUGGUAUAGUUUGCCCAGGCCUAGAAGGUUUGUUCUACUAACCAUAUGUGCUAUCGCCCUGGUGGCUGGCCUCGAAGAGAGUGGAACCUGGCUUAUGUCACAAAGUCUUACCAAAGUGCCACACCCCCUUGGGUUUCUUGUUAAUUUUUACUCUGUCUUUUAGGGAGAAAAGUGAUUUGAUACCAUCAUAAAUGACAUGUCAGAGAAUGACAUGUACUUAUUUCCCUGAUCUAUAUGUUGAUAGGGGAUAGUACGUUAUGCAAGUGUACAUGCUCAUUUGGGCAGGAUAGGAAGCAGAAGAGCUGACCUUGAGUCCCUAGCAUAUACUUUAACAUUACUCCUUAGGGAAGCUUCCUUGGCAAGGUUUCAUUGGUGAGAAUAAAGGAUUCCUCAUUUUUAAAAAGAAGAUGGGUACUCCCCCUGAAGUGCUUUGUUCCUUAUGUACUCUCCCUUUGCCAACAAUUUCUUGAGAUGGUGACCAAUAUGAAUUUUGAUGAACCCAAUUACUUGAAGCUUAUUUCACUCAAGACAACAUCAAUUCCAGUGUGUAAUUGCGACCCAUCAGAAUAGAUGGAGCCUUGAAGGUAGGUCAGAAAAUGGUGGAGCUUGCUUGUGGAUUUGGAAGAUGGUGUGCAGCCUCACAAAAAAGUUCAAUUUACUCCAACCACUCGGUGGAUCUAUAGUUCCAGGUCACCAAUGAAAGAGGGGUAAAGCUGGGCAAAAUAUAUUUCUCUUCUUUAAUUUUUGGUAUAGAAAAUUCUCUUUUAAUUUAUUUUCUUCAUCUCUUACAAAUUUAACAUAGCCUUUAAUAGUCAAACCAUGGGUCAUUAUGGGUAACAUGUUCCUCUCCAUUUGACGAAGCACUUUCUUUGACAUGUAUGGAUUCUCAUAGGCUUGGAAAUUUUAUCGUAGCGUGGUUAAUUUCAAAGCUAAACUACCUUUGAUUAGAAUUGUCAUUUAUUUCUGAAAGAAUACUCAAGUAGGGAGUCAAUAAACAUGUGUUAUAAUGUAUUCGAGACUCCACCAGCAUGCAGAGAAAGGAAAGAAAGAUGGUUUAUACAUUAGCUGCCUAGCUUCUUCAGGAAAUCUGUAGGCAGUUAUUAUGGAUGCAGGGACAGGUUUUACAUCCAAAGUCUAUGAACUCUCACCCGUUUUCUUGCACUAGUUAUUUGUAGUCCUUACCAUGAGUUCUAAAAAUUCAUUAAUCAGAUUAUCAAUUGCCUCUUUAAGUCUAUUAUUUUGAAAUUCUUCAUCAGGAGUGGAUUUUGGAGUCGUGGGACAAGAAUUACAUCACUUCACUUGCUGGUGCAUCCAAUGGCAGUGCCUUAGUGGUUUAUGUCCAAGGGGAAAACUCGAAGGUGGAUUUGUUCUCAAUUUUCGCCUUAUCAUUGGUGUUAGAGAGAAGGAAAAUCCUUUGAACCGGUAACCCACGAAGUUAUAUUUUAAGACAACAAGGAUCCAAUUUGUUUGUUGGUUCAUAAUUUCAUAUUAGAUGUGUUAAUGAUUGAUAGAAUAGGGGGGAAAAAUAGUGUGUAUUUUGUGGUGGAGAUUUUCUCGAAAAAAAGUUCUCUCUAUUUAUCUUCUUGUAUUAUUUUUAUCACCUGUAAUGCAACCCCACACACGUAGCACGUGGGGCUCCAGUUAGUAGUUAUAAAAGAAGGUAGUAAGUUAAAUAAAAUAAUAAUAAAAAAAAAGUUUGAUUUAUCCUUUCAA